GAUGAACGCUGGCGGCGUGCCUAAUACAUGCAAGUCGAGCGAACAGACGAGGAGCUUGCUCCUCUGACGUUAGCGGCGGACGGGUGAGUAACACGUGGAUAACCUACCUAUAAGACUGGGAUAACUUCGGGAAACCGGAGCUAAUACCGGAUAAUAUAUUGAACCGCAUGGUUCAAUAGUGAAAGACGGUUUUGCUGUCACUUAUAGAUGAAUCCGCGCCGCAUUAGCUAGUUGGUAAGGUAACGGCUUACCAAGGCAACGAUGCGUAGCCGACCUGAGAGGGUGAUCGGCCACACUGGAACUGAGACACGGUCCAGACUCCUACGGGAGGCAGCAGUAGGGAAUCUUCCGCAAUGGGCGAAAGCCUGACGGAGCAACGCCGCGUGAGUGAUGAAGGUCUUCGGAUUGUAAAACUCUGUUAUUAGGGAAGAACAAAUGUGUAAGUAACUAUGCACGUCUUGACGGUACCUAAUCAGAAAGCCACGGCUAACUACGUG
rnacentral:rRNA from 1 species